rnacentral:rRNA from 1 species
CUGCCGUUGAAACUGGGGAUCUGGAGUACGGUCGCCGCCGGAGGAAUGUGCGGUGUAGCGGUGAAAUGCAUAGAUAUCGCACAGAACACCGAUUGCGGAGGCAUCUGGCGAGGCCGAAACUGACGCUGAGGCACGAAAGCGUGGGGAUCGAACAGGAUUAGAUACCCUGGUAGUCCACGCUGUAAGCGAUGAUGGCUAGCCGUUGGUCUUUAGGGAUCAGUGGUCAAGAGAAAUCGAUAAGCCAUCCACCUGGGGAGUACGGCCGCAAGGCUGAAACUCAAAGGAAUUGACGGGGGCCCGCACAAGCGGAGGAACAUGUGGUUUAAUUCGAUGAUACGCGAGGAACCUUACCCGGGCUCGAACGGCUCCGGAAUAUGUGAGAGAUCACAUAGUCUACGGACUGGAGUCGAGGUGCUGCAUGGUUGUCGUCAGCUCGUGCCGUGAGGUGUCGGCUCAAGUGCCAUAACGAGCGCAACCCCUGCGUCCAGUUGCCAGCGAUUAGGUCGGGGACUCUGGACGGACUGCCGCCGCAAGGUGCGAGGAAGGGGGGGAUGACGUCAAAUCAGCACGGCCCUUACGUCCGGGGCGACACACGUGUUACAAUGGGGGGUACAGAGGGGAGCCAGGCUGCGAGGCCGCGCGGAUCCCGAAAGCCCCUCCCAGUUCGGAUCGGAGUCUGCAACCCGACUCCGUGAAGCUGGAUUCGCUAGUAAUCGCGCAUCAGCCAUGGCGCGGUGAAUACGUUCCCGGGCCUUGUACACACCGCCCGUCAAGCCAUGGGAGCCGGGAGCGCCUGAAGUCCGUAACCGCGAGGAGCGGCCAAGGGCGAGACCGGUGACUGGGGCUAAGUCGUAACAAGGUAACC